rnacentral:rRNA from 1 species
GACGAACGCUGGCGGCGUGCUUAACACAUGCAAGUCGAACGGAAAGGCCCUGCUUGCAGGGUACUCGAGUGGCGAACGGGUGAGUAACACGUGGGUGAUCUGCCCUGCACUUCGGGAUAAGCCUGGGAAACUGGGUCUAAUACCGGAUAGGAGCCAUUUUUAGUGUGAUGGUUGGAAAGUUUUUUCGGUGUAGGAUGAGCUCGCGGCCUAUCAGCUUGUUGGUGGGGUAAUGGCCUACCAAGGCGGCGACGGGUAGCCGGCCUGAGAGGGUGGACGGCCACAGUGGGACUGAGAUACGGCCCAGACGCCUACGGGAGGCAGCAGUGGGGAAUAUUGCACAAUGGGCGCAAGCCGGAUGCAGCGACGCCGCGUGGGGGAUGACGGCCUUCGGGUUGGAAACUCCUUUCGCUAGGGACGAAGCUUUUUGUGACGGUACCUAGAGAAGAAGCACCGGCUAACUACGUG